rnacentral:lncRNA from 1 species
UUGUACAAGAGUUGUACACUCAUCCAUCUAUGUGUCACCAAUAACUGUUAGGUGAGGUGGCAUGUAAAUCGGUGGGACCGCAGUACCCACUAGAAACCCUAGUCGUGUGGGAUUUCUGUUUUCCUACCAAGGGAGUGUGAGGGAUUCGAGAAAAUAAUGGGAGUUACAUUUGUUCUAAAAGACCUUAGAACAGAUUAGGAUCAAGUACAAAAAUCUAACUAGAAUCUUUACUCUCUGCAGAUACAAUGUCAGCUUCAAACCCUUUGACCCGUAUUCUUGAGACCAACCGACUGACCGGAACCAAUUACAAGGACUGGCUUAGAAAUCUCAAAAUUGUUUUGGACUGUGAGAAAAUAGGCUAUAUACUCGAUUCAGAUAUCCCCACACUACCAACACGUCCUACUGAUGUUCAGCGUGAGAUGCAUAAAAAGUGGUUGGAUGAUGAC